rnacentral:rRNA from 1 species
AACAGGCUUAGAUACCCUGGUAGUCCACCCCGUAAACGUUGGGAACUAGUUGUGGGGACCAUUCCACGGGUUUCCGUGACGCAGCUAACGCAUUAAGUUCCCCGCCUGGGGAGUACGGCCGCAAGGCUAAAACUCAAAGGAAUUGACGGGGACCCGCACAAGCGGCGGAGCAUGCGGAUUAAUUCGAUGCAACGCGAAGAACCUUACCAAGGCUUGACAUAUACGAGAACGGGCCAGAAAUGGUCAACUCUUUGGACACUCGUAAACAGGUGGUGCAUGGUUGUCGUCAGCUCGUGUCGUGAGAUGUUGGGUUAAGUCCCGCAACGAGCGCAACCCUCGUUCUAUGUUGCCAGCACGUAAUGGUGGGAACUCAUGGGAUACUGCCGGGGUCAACUCGGAGGAAGGUGGGGAUGACGUCAAAUCAUCAUGCCCCUUAUGUCUUGGGCUUCACGCAUGCUACAAUGGCCGGUACAAAGGGCUGCAAUACCGUAAGGUGGAGCGAAUCCCAAAAAGCCGGUCCCAGUUCGGAUUGAGGUCUGCAACUCGACCUCAUGAAGUCGGAGUCGCUAGUAAUCGCAGAUCAGCAACGCUGCGGUGAAUACGUUCCCGGGUCUUGUACACACCGCCCGUCAACUCAGAAUGUCGGUAACACCUGAAGCCGGUGGCCCAACCCUUGUGGAGGGAGCCGUCGAAGGUGGAUCGUAUGUUUUUUUUUUUAUUAAG